UUAGAGUUUGAUCCUGGCUCAGGAUGAACUUCUAGCGGCAGGCUUAACACAUGCAAGUCGAGGGGCAGCAGGGGGUAGCAAUAUCCUGCUGGCGACCGGCGGACGGGUGCGUAACGCGUAUGCGACCUACCCUUAACAGAGGGAUAACCUAAGGAAACUUGGACUAAUACCUCAUAUAAUUAUGUCCUUGCAUGGGGAUAUAAUGAAAGGAUGGAGACAUUGGUUAGGGAUGGGCAUGCGUGACAUUAGCUAGUUGGUGAGGUAACGGCGUCACCAAGGCGACGAUGUCUAGGGGAGCUGAGAGGCUAGACCCCCACACUGGUACUGAGACACGGACCAGACUCCUACGGGAGGCAGCAGUGAGGAAUAUUGGUCAAUGGGCGUAGGCCUGAACCAGCCAAGUAGCGUGCAGGAUGACUGCCCUAUGGGUUGUAAACUGCUUUUAUGCGGGAAUAAAGUCAGGUACGGGUACCUGUUUGCAUGUACCGCAUGAAUAAGGACCGGCUAAUUCCGUGCCAGCAGCCGCGGUAAUACGGAGGAUGCGAGCGUUAUCCGGAUUUAUUGGGUUUAAAGGGUGCGUAGGCGGACUAAUAAGUCAGUGGUGAAAGACACGGGCUCAACCGGUGUAUUGCCAUUGAUACUGAUAGACUAGAGAGUAGUUGGCGCUGGCGGAAUGUGUCAUGUAGCGGUGAAAUGCAUAGAGAUGACACAGAACACCGAUCGCGAAGGCAGCUAGCGAAGCUAUAUCUGACGCUGAGGCACGAAAGCGUGGGGAUCGAACAGGAUUAGAUACCCUGGUAGUCCACGCAGUAAACGAUGAUAACUUGUUUUUGGCGAUAUAGUGUCAGAGACAAAGCGAAAGCGAUAAGUUAUCCACCUGGGGAGUACGAUCGCAAGGUUGAAACUCAAAGGAAUUGACGGGGGCCCGCACAAGCGGAGGAGCAUGUGGUUUAAUUCGAUGAUACGCGAGGAACCUUACCCAGACUCAAAUGCAGAUAGAAUUAUUCAGAGAUGGAUAAGCCCUUCGGGGCUAUUUGCAAGGUGCUGCAUGGUUGUCGUCAGCUCGUGCCGUGAGGUGUCAGGUUAAGUCCCGCAACGAGCGCAACCCUUGUCAUUAGUUGCUACGCGAGAGCACUCUAAUGAGACCGCUACCGACAAGGUGGAGGAAGGUGGGGAUGACGUCAAAUCAUCAUGCCCCUUAUGUCCUGGGCUACACACGUAAUACAAUGGUCGUCAACAGAGGGCAGCAAUACCGUGAGGUGGAGCGAAUCCCUAAACACGAUCUCAGUUCGGAUCGCAGGCUGCAACCCGCCUGCGUGAAGCUGGAAUUGCUAGUAAUCGCGGAUCAGCAUGCCGCGGUGAAUACGUUCCCGGGCCUUGCACACACCGCCCGUCAAG
rnacentral:rRNA from 1 species